GACGAACGCUGGCGGCGUGCUUAACACAUGCAAGUCGAGCGGUAAGGCCCUUUCGGGGGUACACGAGCGGCGAACGGGUGAGUAACACGUGGGUGACCUGCCCUCAGCUCUGGGAUAAGCCUGGGAAACUGGGUCUAAUACUGGAUAUGACUCCACGGUGCAUGUCGUGGGGUGGAAAGCCUUGUGCGGCUGAGGAUGGGCCCGCGGCCUAUCAGCUUGUUGGGGGGUGAUGGCCUACCAAGGCGACGACGGGUAGCCGGCCUGAGAGGGCGACCGGCCACACUGGGACUGAGACACGGCCCAGACUCCUACGGGAGGCAGCAGUGGGGAAUCUUGCGCAAUGGGCGAAAGCCUGACGCAGCGACGCCGCGUGAGGGAUGACGGCCUGGUGU
rnacentral:rRNA from 1 species